rnacentral:lncRNA from 1 species
CGGGCAGUCUGCAUUUUUUUCAAGCUCUCAUUAUGCUGCACCAGUAUCUCCAGAUGCUGUUUCCAGGGAACUAAGCCGCUUUCUAAUUAAAACUGCAAAGAGCAAUGGAGAGUUUAGGCAAAGACCAUGCUUCCUCGGACUCUUCCCUGCCACCCUCUGCAGCCUGUGAGGAGUAUGCUGUGCCAGAUGUCAUCAUAACCCGUCGCUUGAGAGACCGGGAGUUGCUCAGGAAAAGAAAAGCAGAAGCCCUGGAGAAAGAUUCAGCUCAGUGGGUUAUGAGAGACUAUAAGAUCGAACAGCAAAGGAGAGCCAGAAGAGCCAAAAGAGGACGGGGCCGUCAGACAGUGGUCAAGGCUGUCCUGGAGUCAGAGCCAGCAGUGGACCCCCAGCCUGACCACCAGGAGAAGGCUGAGCCGGUGCCCUCUGAGCCAGCACUGCCUGAACCAGGCUACCAGCAGCAGCCACCACCUAUGCUGACCCUCCAGAACAUGGUCAGUGGGAUGCAAGCAGUGGCAGUGGAAGGGGAGCUGGCAGACAGGAGCUUCGACCCUGCUGGUGAAGAGGAUGUGCUGAAACCAGCAGAAGCAGAUAUACUAGAAGAGUUGAAUACUCCUCUGGAAAAUGACCACCAGGAUAACGAAUUCAUUCCACAUAUUCUGUAUUAACUUUCUGAUUGUUUGGGGAUAUUUUUUAUUCUUACUCUCAUCUCACAAACUUGAUAAGUACGGCACAGUGAUUUUGAGCAGCUGCUUUCUUGGGAGCCAUAAAGCCCACACUCUCCUUGUCACUCUGUUUUCUGUGCUCCUUCCAGGCUAGAGAGGCAGCCCCUAGGGAGUUGCCUGUGGCUUCUGAGCCUCCUGCUCUCUCUGCAAACAGGCUGUUUUCCUUGGGCCCAUCUAAGGCUUCACAGUGCUCUGCCACACUACAGUUCAGUCAUACAGUCCAGCAUCCACCUGUGUUCCUGAAAGUAAUUUCUUAUUUGCUUAUAUGUGAGUGGCAUUGUAAAGCUAACAUUCACUGUGAUUUUUAGCUGGCUGAAGAAGUCCAUCUUGGGCUUUUUACCGCACCCCACCACCCUUUGUGCUAUUAUUUUCAGUCUGAACGUUUUUCUCAUAGCCUGUUUUUAUCUGCAAUAAACAUCUUG